AUUAAAAGUGGCAUUUCAGGUUCCCCGCUGAUGAAAUUAUAAGAGCGAAGUGGACUAAAAUUAUUAGACUAGCUCGGUUAGAUGAAAUUUGGAAUCCUUCUAAAAGCAGUGUUAUUUGUUCAAAACAUUUUGAAGAUGAUUGUUUUUAUGACACAAAAUGUGGUUUUAAAAAAUUACGAAAAGGAUCUUUUCCAAAUAAGCACAUGGCCAUAAUAUCGGAAGAAGACGAGAUCCUCAUGGAUACAUCAAUAUCCGGACCUUUAGCUGAUAAGGAUCAUAUGGCCAUGGUAACAGCAGAAUCGGGGGCUCACAUAGGCGCACUUUCAGCUGGCCCUGCGAUACAGAUGAAUGAUAGAAAAUUUACACCAUCUCCACAACCAGAUUCGCUGAUUGGUGAUGUUCCUGUCUCUGAUUUGGACUCAAUCCUCGAUACGCCGAGAAAAGUGAAAUUAAAAGCCCUAUAUCGACGAAAGCAAUUAUUUUGUGAGAAAUAUGUCCGAAAAAUUAAAACACUGCAACAAAAAAACAGACGUCUAAAAAAAAGAAAUGAGUCUUUACAGAAUAUACUGAGGAAUUUAAAGAACAAUCGUUAUGUCAACGACGAUGUUUAUAACCUCCUUUCAAAAGAUGUUGUGGCAGCCGAUUUUUUUAAUAAUUUUUACAAAAAAAGCGUCCAAAACAAGAAAAAAUUUAAAUAUACUACAAAAAUUAAAAAGUUCUGUUUGACAUUAAAUUUUCUUUCGCCUAGUGCCUAUAGGUAC